GCCUGGCUCGGCGCAGGAAGUCACAUGUCACCAUGGCACUGUGGUUUCACUUUUAAACAGAGCAGAAAAAAAACAGAAGAAAUGGACCGACUGGCGUGUGUGCUGCUGGCGCUCUGUGUACCACACUGCUGGACUCGAAUCCAAACUCCGGAUCCUGCGACUCUGCGUUUCGUGGUGCUCGCUGACUGGGGGGGUAUUCCUUUGCCUCCGUACUACACCCCCCAUGAGGAGGCUGUCGCUGGGGAGCUGGACAGGCUGGCCCGCAAUGAAGGGGUGGACUUUGUGCUCAGCCUCGGAGAUCACUUCUACUUUGACGGUGUGAAGAAUGUGGACGACCCUCGCUUUAAGUACACAUAUGAAGGGGUUUUCUCCCAGGCCUCUCUGCUGGAUAUCCCAUGGUACCUCACUGCAGGAAACCACGACCACAGGGGCAACAUCUCCGCUCAGAUCGCUUACUCCAACACAUCCCAGCGCUGGAAUUACCCAAGUCUCUAUUAUGAUCUCCGGUUCACUGUCCCCCACACCAACGUGUCAGUGGGCGUCCUGAUGAUUGACACCGUGGUGUUGUGUGGAAACACGUACGACCAGACGCAGCCGUCAAGACCCGAGGACUCCACAGCAUCAGAGCAGCAGUGGGACUGGAUCACAGCUAAACUGGCCAGCAGCAAGUCAGACUAUGUCGUGGUGGCCGGUCAUUAUCCCGUGUGGUCCAUCGGCCAUCAUGGACCAACUUCCUGUCUGGUGAAAAGACUGAGGCCCCUCCUGAAGAAGUACAACGUCACUGUGUACCUGAGCGGCCACGACCACAACAUCCAGUUCAUCAGAGAGGAUGAUGGGAGUUCCUACGCGGUGAGUGGCAGUGGGAUGGUUAGUGACACCGCAACCACACACAAGGGCAGCGUCCCCUCGUCGUGGCAGCUGUACUCCAGCCCUGUGAACCACACGGUGGGGGGGCUGGCUUACUUCCAGGUCACCGAGCAUCACAUGACGGUCAGCUUCAUGCAGACAGACGGGAAGUGUGUUUACCAGGUGGAGCUGCAGAAACGCUCGCUCUGAGGGACUGGAUCAAUCGUGUGUUCUGAAGUAAUACUCAGAAAGAGAAUCAUGAGCCUUCUUCCUACGAUUCCAGCAGACCACAGUGAUGGCGAUGAUGAAGCCUAUCAGCAGCAGGAUGAGGAAGAUGGCCGCAGCGAUCACACCGAUCGAAUACACUGUGGGGACAAAACAAGACGUUACUUUAAAGACUUAACCAUAACCCUUUAAAAGAUAGAAGAUAAUGAAAUAUACACUAGGACAAAGUCUACAUCCCUGAUAGGAUGCAAUAUUCUUUGUCCCCAGUGUUGCGCUAAAGGAAAGGUCAUAAAGUGAAAGGCUGGUUUUUCUAAAUUUCAAGAUAUCUCAAUCCAUCUUAGAAAUACGCCUACAAAUACAUAUUUUCAUUAUCGCUGAAUGUGGGAGUUGUUAGCAACAAGCGAACAAAAUAAGACUCCCUCCUUCAGAUGGCUUUAGAAAAAAUGUGUGCAAGGUUGAGUUUUUGUCCCGAGGGUGGAGCAUGUAUAGACCUUUCUGGGAAAUUUAUUUUCCUUUUCACACGCACACGCACACACACACACACGCACACACACAGGGAGGGAGUGUUGCUGUGUUGCAUUUCUUAUUAUCCAAACAGAAACAUGAGUCACAGCGUCGUCCCAACGUCUCAUCAUCACAUUUGUGUGUAUAAGUCUGUGGAGCUUAAUGCUUGCAUUGUUAACCACAAAGAAGGCAUUUUCAGGAAUAUGCCACCUACAAAUAUAUAAAUGCUUAUCGCUUCCACAAGAGUGUGCUGUUGCAUUUCACAAAAAUGUUGCAUUGGGACGUAAGCAGAGGGAGGACAUGAAUGAGACAUUGUUCUCGUUUGCAGCUUCUAAGAGAAUCAGGACCUCACCUUCGAAGAUGGAUUGGGAGUCGUCAUUGGAGCACUGCGUCUGGCUCAUCUCCCCCAGCUGUUUGUCUGUGUCUCUGCUGGGGAUGUAGGCCUGCACGUUGAAGCAGUAACUCUCCCCUCUAUCCAGAUCUGUCAGCUCUAUAACAUUGCUCUUAGAGAUUGACACUUUCUGCAGAAACACAGAGGAAAUCCUUUAGUUUGCAUCGUCUUACCAAUGAGUGUUUCAGGUGCACACUGUAAUGUCUGCCGUCACUCACCUUGCCGGUGCUCUUAUUUCUCCGGUAGGUGACUUUAUACUGCAGCUGGUCAGAGAAGAUGUCCCUGAUGGUCUGCUGAUGUCCAUCUUUGAAGAUGGCGGUGAGUGGGUCAGACACAUACAGCGUGGUCUUCUUUUUGUCUUCGCUCACUUGCAGCUUGAAGUCAGGUCUGCCUAUUUCAGCUGUGGAGGAGGAACAUGGGGAUCAGUUUGUAUAUCUAUGAGUGGACAAAACAGCGAAUGUUGCUAGAAAUGCUUCAGUAAACAGGGAAGCUGCGUGCACACACAACUACAGGAAAGCUGGAUUUAUUAUUUGUGAAUUUGAACAAUAUUUAGUUGGCGGCUUCAAAUAGGCCCACAGGGUUUACUGUCUACUUCUGUCUACUGCACUGUAAAUUAUGCAAAACAACAACAAACAAUAGAUGUAAGCAGUGGGAAUAAUCUAAUAAAACAUGUUUAAACUGA